UACGUAGGUGGCAAGCGUUGUCCGGAUUUACUGGGCGUAAAGAGCGCGCAGGCGGCUGGUCAAGUCCGAUGUGAAAUCUCCCGGCUUAACUGGGAAACUGCAUCGGAAACUGAUCGGCUUGAAGGUGGGAGAGGGUAGUGGAAUUCCCGGUGUAGUGGUGAAAUGCGUAGAUAUCGGGAGGAACACCAGUGGCGAAGGCGAGUACCUGGCCCAUUCUUGACGCUGAGGCGCGAAAGCUAGGGGAGCGAACGGG
rnacentral:rRNA from 1 species